UACGGGGGGGGCAAGCGUUGUUCGGAAUUACUGGGCGUAAAGGGCGCGUAGGCGGCUCACUAAGUCGGAUGUGAAAACUCUGGGCUCAACCCAGAGCCUGCAUCCGAAACUGGUGGGCUAGGGUGCUGGAGGGGAAAGCGGAAUUCCUGGUGUAGCGGUGAAAUGCGUAGAUAUCAAGCGGAACACCAGUGGCGAAGGCGAGUCCCUGGACAACUCCUGACACUGAGGCACGAAAGCUAGGGGAGCAAACAGG
rnacentral:rRNA from 1 species